UUAUGUCUGUUUCCUUGGAAAAUUUUGGAUUCUCAACUCAAAACCCGAUGUCCUUGGAUCUUCCUAUCGGCGUUUGAGUUCUUCACUAUCGGGUACAUGGUGUUGAUCUGAGGAUGAUUUUUUUGUUCUAGUACUGAUGGAAGAACUUUAUGUUGUUGGAACAAUCAGUCUUGGUUCCGAGGGAUUCGAUUGGGCAAGUGGAAAUUGUCAUCCCCGACGUUUCUCUUCAGCGGAGUCAGUGAGCUAAGUUUCUUGUCCUCUUUUUUCUAUUUUACCUUUUUUUAUCGAAUUUACCAUGCUGGAUAUAUAUGGAUUUUAUGGAAGCUGAUAUCGUAUUUCCAUGUACUUAGAUGAUAAAUUUUUAGGAGAUAUAUACUCAUGAUCUUUGUACACUGGAUACUGCAAAUGCUACUGGUUCAGUCUCCAAUUUUGAAUUUUCUUUCUUAUAAUUAUAUUAUUUAACAAAAAGAAGGAGUGCGUUCAAGACAGCAUUCUUAAGUUAAUGCUGAUACUGGACAGAAGUAUUUCUUUAUGUUUCUAUAUAAUCAAGCCAAACGUACUUUCGUCUGUUCUUUUUAAAAUAAUUUGGGGGAAGGGGAGGGAGAAGAAGAAAUGUCGGAGGAGAUCAGAGCGUUAAUUUUUCAGUGAAAAAUGGUAAGUUAGAAAAAUAAAAACAUAAAGAUAAGAAAUAAGGAAAUCUAUGGGCGGAAAUUAAAACCCGUAAAUUAUAUAAAAUAAAUUAGAAUUUUAAUUAAUUACAGAUAAAAAAAUAGAAAGUUACGACGCAAUUCUACCAACGGUCAGUUUUUCCGCUCCCCUCGUAACCCACCCCAUAUGAGAGGAAACCAGAGAAAGAUCAGGAGCGGAUCUUCCCUAAAUUUUUAAUUUUAGAUUUGUAAUUAAAACUCCAAUUCGGAAAAGGAAACAAGGUUGUAAUUACAACUUCAGAAUCGGAAAAGAAAAAAAAAUCGAAACAAUAUAUAGUUACAUUUACUACACCUGAACGCAAUUAACAAUCUCUCUCUCUCUCUCUCUCUGCUCUUCUUCCUCUAUCUAGGCUUUCUGUUUCCUUUUUUCUUUCUCUGCUUCCAUUCUUUAUUCUGUGAAGAAACAUGGAGUUGAGGACACUGAAUGUUGACGGAACUGGGUUGCUGCAAUAACUGAUGAUCGUGAAACUUCACAGUCAGACUUCGAGUAACCUAUAUUUAUGAGUGGGUAUUCCGUCAUCUUGAAGGUGGGGAAACCGUCUUGAGUCGACAAAAAAUCGUUGCACCUGCCCAUACAGUCUUCUACCUCCCAGUAGACCUGCUCUCGCAAUCCACAGCCCACCACCGCAUUCUCAUCCAACUCACUAGUUUCGGUAUCGCUCGUGAGUUAGCUGAGCAAAUCGCUACCCAAAUGCUCUCUCAUUUCCGAGGGAUAUCCGUUGCCCGCUCCUCCAACCACUUCUUAUUUCACGCACGGACUGUCUGGACUGAAGUUAUUUUUGACGAAAGAGUCACGGGACAGAGAAUCCGUGAUUUUGAGGAUGUGCUCACUUAUGAUAGGUGCAAUCUAGGCCAGGCCGAGUUUGAUUUUGGUGGUGGCAACCGGGAUAGUUCUGCAAAUAAUGGGGUAUCGACCUCCCUCCUUGAAAAACUGAGAUCAGAACGGAGCGUUGAUCGUACCGACACUUGUGAUGCCAUUGAUGACGCCUGCGCUGUAUGUCUCGAAGAUUUCUUGUCAGCCAAGGAGCUGAUUGACAUGCCGUGUCGCCACAUCUUUCACGAGUCAUGCAUCUUUAGUUGGUUGAAGAUGAAAAACUCUGUCCAAUCCGCCGUAAAAGGGUCGAUAUCUGAGUGUUUAUUCAUUUGCAGAAAUAUUGUAACGAGUUAGUAAAUUGUCAGAAGAUUUGGGUUGAACAAAUAUGAAAGAUUUGGUUUUUUUGUGUUUUAUGAGUUAGUAACUACUCAAUAUUGGUUGUAAACUUGAAUUGUACUUGGUACUUGAGAGAUUUUAAAAAAAAAUCUUAUUUGUACAGAGUUUGCAGCCUAAAGACCAUAUACCACAAAGGAAAAGAUUUGUCCUUUGCUGGAAUGACUUCUGUUUUUUGUAUCAGAAAUUAAAAUACACAAUUAACUCUUUUUUAGUGUCAGUAUCAUAUUGCAUCGAUUUCUUCACUUGUAAUUUCUGCAAUUAAUAAAUUGAUUACUCUUUAUAUUUCUUAUUUAUGGUAGUAAUUAAAUAUUAUUUAACUUAUUAGACAUUUGCUUGGUUUUGUUUUAGGGAAAAAGAAUCUUUUAAGGAGCAGGCUGCAACUAGCAAUGAGAUUCAAAUACCAAUUUUGGAGUAUUAUGAAUGUCUUGAAAUCAAACUUUAGCCUUUAGAGCAACUCUUCUCCACACACCAAUUAACACAAGCUAUUAAUGCAAGAGGGUACAAUGACUACUAAUAUUUAAAAUCUCAUUAUUAAUAUUUAAAAAAAUCUUAAUGUUAUCAGUAUUAAUAUUACCUUAAUGUUAUCGAGAGUCAAACUAGUAAGCUCACUGUGGCAUUUGAGGGCGAGGUCUCGUCUUCCCUGCCGUUACACCUCAAAAAGUGAGAGUACUAGACAAGGCUUGUUUUUUGAAAUUUUUUUUUUUUGUUUUUCUCUGCUUGCAGAGAACAUGUAGUAACAAGAGAAGGGAAAUGUUUUUCUAGUAUCGUUUCUCUGCUAGGAUGAGUUGUUUUGGAUAGGAGAUUUUUCAGAACUUGUGUUGGCCAACUGCACCCUCUCCCUCCUGGCCCCAAAAAUAGAAGGAAUGUUGAAAUUUUAGGUCAAAUUUUAUUGGCAGUCUCAAAAUGUUUUGCUACUAUUGCGGACUAAUGUUUGAAGUAAAGUAUGGAGAAUAAUUUUGAUUCCUAGUUUGGUUAGUUGGUUUGAUCUAAAAUGAGAACUAAGUUAAAGCAAGUGUGUCUGUCCGGCUUGCCGCUAAGCAUUGAAUUUGGGGCAUGUUGAUAGGACGACUUUGUCUAUUUUUUCCCUUUGUUAUGUGAAACAAGGCAGAGAAAGGGAACUCAAAAUUGAAUGUGAGCAAAAAGAGUAUUUUGAAGGGGAAUAAAAGAGCUGAUAAUAUCUAUUUUUUUCUUUUUGUCUAUUGUUUUUGGGCAGUCUGAAAGGAGAGGAGCAAAAGAACUUUCGAAGGGGUUGACGAUGUUUAACGAUUUUGACUUGAUUAGGAAUAUAUGGUUCCAGACCAUUGAAUGUUUAGUAUUGGGUCAUCCUCUUUUCUUUAUAGAGGAUUUAGGAGACAUCAUCAAUAUUUUGCUGAAUAUGUAAAUAAUUUAUUUACAGGUAGUCACCCCCCCGGUUAUUUAUGAUAUUAUUCACACUCAGUAUUUUUUAAAAAAGAAAGGACGUGAGCAAGCUGGAAUGCACUCACAAUUAGUUCUAGAUCAUGAAAAUUCUUCUUCUUAAUUUCUUUUUCCAAAUUUCUUUCUUUUUCUUUGAGGAACCAAAGAUGGCUUAGGCAGAUUCCCUACUCAGUUGGAUAACAAUUUUGAUAAGCUCUUUGUGGUUUUCUUAUCAUUUUAGAAUCGUAAAAGGUCUUUAUAUUUGUGCUUUUUGUUGUUGGAGCUUUGACAUGGUGCUGAGAACUGUCCCCCACUUUGGAUCUAGAGAAUUGAUGUCCAAGGGUUGGCCGUCCCUUCAAAGAUCCUCCGGAAAAAGGAACAGUCCCUCGCUUCGUACCUGGGGCAAGCUGUGCUAUUACUUUUGGGAGGGGGUGAUACACCUAGUAGUGUACCUAUCACCGAGUUUUCUGCUACAACAGAACGACAAGGUUGCAGGUGAGGCUUCACAAGACUUUCUAAAAGAAUUGCCUCAUUGGUGAAGUUUCGUGAAAAGCGGAAAGAAAAGUGUUCCGAGAAGAAAAUUCGAUACAGACGCCGGAAAGAAGUUGCACAGAGGUAAGAUGCCUGAUAAUUGGAUAGCUUACGCUUUGGAAUGAAGGAAUGAAUAUAAGUGUCUUGACAUAUUAAAGCUUUUGGGAAUAUAAAAGUUCAGUGCGCUCAACAUACUUCCUAACUUCCAGUUUUGCAGUAAGAGACCAUCAUACAUGGAAUAAGGGGGGAAAAUAGAGAAAACACAAUGCUCUUGACUCCCUUUACCGAAAAGGGGAAAGGAUGAGGGGGAUGGAGUUGAACAAAGAGUGCGGAAAAUAACUGAUGAUGAAAAGUCUGGGCUUUGCUAUUUGUAAUAAGCUCUCUGUUCAUUUAAUAAUAUUUGUAUCCUAGAAUGCACCGAAAGAAUGGACAGUUUGCAUCAUUGGUGGAGUGUCAUGAUAUUGCUGCUGGAAACUGGGAUCCAAAUGUCGGGACCCCUCCUGAAUCUUUGAGUUUUCUUUGUUUGCUUUUUUCUGUAAAAAGUCAAGUAUAAAUUUUUUGUAUACGAGUGAGUGGUGCUUUCUUGAUUGACUAUACGUGUUCGCGUCUGUGUAUUUUAUAGUGGAGAGAGAGGGAGGGGAGAUCUGAUACCUUCCUUGUAAGAACCAUCAGGCUGAAUUUUGCCGAGCCUUUGGAUUUCUUCCUUGAGUGAGUCGGUGGACCUCUUGGUCAACGUUCAUGGUUUUCUAAAUUUUCUUUUCCUCUCUCUGAAUUCUUGUCGUCUAUCCUGAUCAA